AUGGACUCAGUGGCGUUUGAAGAUGUGAUUGUGACUUUUACCUGGGAAGAGCGGCCUUUGCAAGGUCCUUCCUGGAAGAAUCUACAUAAAAAUGUGAUCCAAAAAAUCUUAAGGAACUUGGGUUAUAUAGAAAACCAAUGGAGAGACAAACAUAUUGAAAAUCAGUACAAAAAAUUCUUUCAGAGAUUUAAGGAUGAUAAAGAGACUGGAUGAAAUUAAAUAAUGUAGUCAGUGGAGAGAAACCUUCACCCAGAUUCCAAAUCUUAGCCUGAACAAAAAUCCUUAGCACUGGAGUAAAACUACAUGAAUGCAUUGUGUUGAAAAGUGUUCAUAUAUCACUUGUCCCUUCAUAGGCACAUUAUAUCUCACUCUGGAUACAAACAAUAUGAGUGUGCAGAAUGUGGAGAGAAGCCAUCUAAAUCUAAACAGUGUCAGAAAGCCCUCAUUUAUCUCACAACUACUCAAAGACACAUGGUAACUCCCAUUGUAAAUGAACCUUAUGAAUGUACAGUAUGUGAGAACGCCUUUGAUUUUUCCAAUUUAUUUCAAAUACAGCAGAGAAUUCCCAUUGCAGUAAGCCCUGUGGAUGUAAACAAAAUUGUAAUCUCUUCAGGUUUUCUAUUUCCUGUCCAAUACAUAAAAGAACUUACACUGGAGCAAAGCCCAGUGAAUAUAAGGAAGGUGGGAAAUCAUUUGAUUUUCCCUUGUUUUUUAAUAAAAGACAUGAAAGUAUUCACUCUGGAGGAAAGCCCUAUCAGUGUAAGAAAUGUGGUAAAUCCUUUGCUAUUUUAUUUCUCUUUAUAACCAUGAAAAAUAUCAUUCUGGAGAGAAACCCUAUUAAUGAAAGCAAUAUGGUAAGUCCCUCAGUCAUUCUGUUCUGUUCAUUAUUUAUUGAGCAUUUUAUUCAAAGACAUGAAAGAACUCACAGUGGAGACAAAUCCUAUGAAUGUAAGAAAUGCGGUAAAGCCUUCAGUCUUUCCAGGAACCUUUAUAGACAUGAAAUAAUUCAUCAUCAAGAGAAACCUUAUUAAUGUAAGGAAUGUGGGAAAGCCUUCAGUCAUUCCAGUUACCUUUAUAGACAUAAAAGAACCAUAGUGGAGAGAAACCCUGUAAAUAUAAGGAAUGUGGGGAAGCCUUCAGUUGUUCCAGCCAUCUUUAUAACCGUGGAAUAACUCAUACCAGAGAUAAACCCUAUGAAAAUUCUAUAAACCUAAAAAAAUGUGGUUAAAGCCUUCAGAUAUACUGGUGAUUCUCGAAUACAUGAAAGAACUCACUGGAGUGAAAUCUUGUGAAUGGAAGAAAUGUAGAAGAGCAUUUAAUUUUCUUGGUUUCUUUCAAAGAUAUGAAACAAAACAAACUGAAUAAAAAACCCUAUGACUAGAAGAAAUGUGGUUUGAAAAUGGGAAAGGACUCUGAAGAAAAACCUUAUGAGUGUUAGAAAUAUUAUGAGGCUUUCAGCUCUUCCAGUUCUAUUUGAUGACAUAAAAUAACUCAUUGUGGAGGAAAACUCUAUAAAUGUCUAAAAUGUGGGAAUGCCUUCAUUUCUUUCAUAUUUAUUCAAAGACACAUGAUAAUGCACACUGGAAAUGGACCAUAUAAAUAUAAGAAUGCGCCCCUUACUAUGCAACUAUGCAUAAUAAUAUGGAAAAUACAGAAAUAUUCCAUUUUAAUUAUAUUAAAAAUCACAUGACAUCUAUUGGAAUGAAAUCCUAUAAAUGUAAGUAAUAUGGAAAGCCUGAUGCAAACUCAUUAUUGUAGAGUGGUUGAGAAA
rnacentral:lncRNA from 1 species